ensembl:snoRNA
AAUAUUUAAAUAUGAUAAAAUAAUAGUAAUUUAUAGUGGCUAUGCUUGUGGGAUAGAGUGAUUUUUGCCAUGAUCUGAAGAGAGAGGUUUAUUGUGUCCUCCUCCUAUGUGAAAUGGCUGUACAGAAAAAA